AAGUCGUAACAAGGUUUUCGUAGGUGAACCUGCGGAAGGAUCAUUAGUGAAGAAUUAUAGGGUGCUUUCAUUAGGCCCGUCUACACUUAAUUUACACACUGUGCACUUGUCUUUAUAUGCUUGCUUGAAGCUUCAUUGCCGAUAGCGAGUAUUAUAUUAACACUUGUUUUAUACAUGAGUUGAGGAUGUAAUCAUUUUGAUUAAACGAAAGUACAACUUUCAGCAACGGAUGUCUUGGCUCUC
rnacentral:misc_RNA from 1 species